GUUGAACGCUGGCGGCGUGCCUAACACAUGCAAGUCGAACGGUGAAGGCGGAGUUUGUCCUGCUGGAUCAGUGGCGAACGGGUGUGUAACAUGUGAGUAAUCUGCCUCUGACUCUGGGACAUGCGCUGGCAACGGCGUCUAACACUGGAUACGAGCUGCGAAGGCAUCUUCAGCAUCUGGCAAGAAUCUCGGUCAGGGAUGGGCGCGCGGCCUAUUAGCUUGUUGGUGAGGUAAUGGCUCACCGAGGCGUCGACGGGUAGCCGGCCUGGGAGGGUGACCGGGGACACGGGGACUAAGGCACGGAGCAGUGGCGUACAGUGGACAGCAGUGGAGAGUAUGACACAAUGAGGGAAAGCGUGAGACAGCGGCGCCGCGUGAGGAACGACGGCCUUCGGGUGAGAAACCUCAGUUAGCAAAGAAGAAGCGAAAUUGACGGUACCAGCAGAAAAAGCGCCGGCUAACUACGUG
rnacentral:rRNA from 1 species